rnacentral:misc_RNA from 1 species
AACACUGUUAACCUGCGGUACCUGCGGAAGGAUCAUUACCGAGUUUACAAACUCCCAACCCUUUGUGAACCUUACCAUAUUGUUGCUUCGGCGGGACCGCCCCGGCGCCUUCGGGCCCGGAACCAGGCGCCCGCCGGAGGCCCCAAACUCUUAUGUCUUUAGUGGUUUUCUCCUCUGAGUGACACAUAAACAAAUAAAUAAAAACUUUUAACAACGGAUCU